rnacentral:misc_RNA from 1 species
GAUGAAGAACGUAGCGAAAUGCGAUAAGUAAUGCGAAUUGCAGAAUUCCAGUGAGUCAUCGAAUCUUUGAACGCACAUUGCGCCCUUUGGUAUUCCGAAGGGCAUGCCUGUUCGAGCGUCAUUAUCACCCCUCAAGCCCUCGGCUUGGUGUUGGACGGUUUGGUGGAGGCCCCCUCGGGGGCUCCUGCCCCUCCCAAAGACAAUGACGGCGGCCUCGUUGGAACCCGGUACACUGAGUUCUUCACGGGACACGUAUCGGACACAUGGGUUUACGGGACACGGUCUGCCUCCCCUCAGGGAGAAUCUUUCUAAGGUUGACCUCGGAUCAGGUAGGGAUACCCGCUGAACUUAAGCAUAUCAAUAAGCGGAGGA